CGAGCUGUGGGCCAGCGGCGUGGCCGCCUCGUUCAAGAAUGGGACGAGGAGAUCGGGAGUUCGAGUCUCCCCAGCUCGG
rnacentral:tRNA from 1 species